GGUGGGGAUGACGUCAAUCCUCAUGGCCUUUAUGCCCAGGGCUACACACGUACUACAAUGGGCGGUACAAAGGGAAGCGAGUCCGCGAGGAGGAGCCAACCCCAAAAAGCCGUUCACAGUUCGGAUCGGAGUCUGCAACUCGACUCCCGUGAAGUUGGAAUCGCUAGUAAUCGCGGAUCAGCAUGCCGCGGUGAAUACGUUCCCGGGCCUUGUACACACCGCCCGUCACACCACGAAAGUCGGCUGUACCAGAAGUGCGUGGGCUAACUUUUC
rnacentral:rRNA from 1 species